AUGCUCAAAACAAAUGAACAGGAACAGGAAGACUUCAUUUUUGAGAGUGGACGCCAUGUUGUCUCAUUCUGUUUAAGACUUUUACUAAAACAGAUCUUGCAGGUGCUCAACAGGAAAUCUGGUGUCUUAUUUUCAGUCGAGCUGAAAGCCAUGAAACUCAUUCUGCGGUGGAUUUUUUGCUUCAGUUUAGGUUUUGUCACUGAUUGCCAAGUGAAUCGUUAUGGAUUGAAAGGAAGCUCAAUCCGUCUGAGCAUCAGUCCCAGAAAUCAGUCACUAACUAAUGUUGGAUGGCAACGAUUCAACAGGAAAGAGGUGCUUACAGACGCAAAAGAAGUUUCCCCUCAUUUUAAGAAAAGAAUGAUCCUAAACGUCUCAGACUGGUCUUUGACCAUACACAACCUUGAGGAAAAUGACAGUGGACUGUAUGAAGCCAUUAAGAAGUGGGAGGUUGAACCUCUGGCUGCAUUCACACUUACAGUGGAGAACACUGUCUCUAAGCCUGUAAUCAGAGUGGAUCAACAUGACUUUAAUUCGUCUGCUGAAGUGUGUCGGGCUGCAGUGAACUGUUCAGCUGAUGGCAGCUGGGCCACGUUUGACUGCCACCAAAAUGUCUGUACAAAGAUACAAUCCUCUCCAUUCUCCAUUAACAUCACUGUCACUGCACUGGACAGCAGUGGCAUCAAAUGCAACGUCAACAACAACGUGAGCAUGAAUCAUUCUCAGACUCCCUUUACGUGCCAUGAAAAGCAGAAAAGUGAUUAUCGUUUUCUCCCAUCGCUCAUCUUCUGGAUCGUUGGCACCGUUUGUGGUGGUGUUUUGUUGGGUUUGGUUAUGGGUGGGAUUGUAGCAUUUGUCAAGAGAAGAAAAUGUUCAAAAGUUCAUCCACAGUCCAGUCGUGUUGUGAUUGAACAGCAUCAUGAAACAAUUUACUGCACCGUGGAAAAGCCGGCCACAUCCCAGACACAUCCAGGAAACAACACUGUCAGCAACAAAGUAGAAACCAUCUACGACACUCCAUCACGACAUACCAAGGCUUGUCAAGUAGACAGUGUGGAGGUGAUGAGAGACAAUCAGGAGCAACAGCAAUCUGGACAAGACAGAACUAUUCAAGUAAAAGCUACAGUUCACCAGGCAGCAGAACCCGAUUCAGAUCCAAUAAACACUGUUUACUGUAAACUGGGAGAGAUAUGACACAAACACAUACUGAGACGUCACUUCAGUGGAGAUUUAAAU
ensembl:lncRNA